AUUGAACGCUGGCGGCAGGCCUAACACAUGCAAGUCGAACGAGUGGCGGACGGGUGAGUAAUGUAUGGGAAACUGCCUGAUGGAGGGGGAUAACUACUGGGAACGGUAGCUAAUACCGCAUACCAUCAGAUGUGCCCAGAUGGGAUUAGCGAGUUGGUGGGGUAACGGCUAACCAAGGCGACGAGCCCUAGCUGGUCUGAGAGGAUGACCAGCCAAACUGGAACUGAGCCACGGUCCAGACUCCUCCGGGAGGCAGCAUUGGGGAAUAUUUCACAAUGGGCGCAAGCCUGAUGCAGACAUGCCGCGUGUAUGAAGAAGGCCUUCGGGUUGUAAAGUACUUUCAGCGGGGAGGCGUUACCCGCAGAAGAAGCCCCGGCUAACUCCGUGCCAGCCGCCGCGGUAAUUC
rnacentral:rRNA from 1 species